rnacentral:rRNA from 1 species
GACGAACCGUGCAAACGUUGUUCGGAAUCACUGGGCUUAAAGGGCGCGUAGGCGGACUGUCAAGUCAGGGGUGAAAUCUUUCGGCUCAACCGGAAAAUAGCCUUUGAUACUGACAGCCUAGAGGGAGGUAGGGGCAUGUGGAACUUCCGGUGGAGCGGUGAAAUGCGUUGAUAUCGGAAGGAACGCCGGUGGCGAAAGCGACGUGCUGGACCUCUUCUGACGCUGAGGCGCGAAAGCUAGGGGAGCAAACGG